ACACACCUGUAAGUGCCAGAAGCAACAGAGAUUGGCUGCGACCUGAAAAUUACACCUGUGGGGGGAGGCGGGGGCAGACUACAUGUAAGCCAAGCCCUUUACAAACUCGGUCUCUCUUCCUGAGGAGCUUAACCAGAUCACAACGACACCUCCAGCUCCCGAAAAACUUUUAGCAGACAAUGUCCAGCGACCUUGAUACUGUUUUUGGGUUAGUUCAUACCUACCGGCCCGGUGCCUCUCAUCGAGCCAGCCUGAGAUUCACCUACCAUGGAGAGACGACUUCUUCUGCAGAAUGUCAUGGAGGUCGAUUGUCCUUCAGCGGGAGGAAUGGAAGAGGAAGACUAGCUUUCAAAGCAGCUCAGCCAGCGCACAAUGAUGUCUCUUGUCUUGGGUUUCUGGCUCCAUGACCACACCUGGGAAGGACUCGGUAACUCCCCAACAUCAUAUCUUAUUUGUCUUUUGUAGUCUGGAAAAAUAUUUUAUGUAAUUCAACUUUAUAAUGCAAAUGUAUAUUAUUAUUGCUUCCAGUUCAGCACUCAUAUGGGUAGACUGAAACAAAAUAAUUUAAUAUAUAUACUCUACUUUUAUAACCAGGAAACGAAUGCUAGUCCAGCCUAGUUACUGUAUUGUAUAAAGCCGUUGGCGCUUGUGGGCUGUUACUGGUCUUGUAGUUUCGAUGGGCAUAUCAUAAUCUGUAUCAGAUUCCAGUUCAAUUUGAAUAGAGAGAAAAAGAGGAAACAAUAGGGGUGAACGUUCAUUCCUAAACUGGAUAGACCAGUUGGGGCAGGUAGAGGCAAACCGCCCAACGUUUCAAAGGACAUAAAGACAGCAGCUUAUUUCCCUCAUUAGAUUUACGUUUGUGGAGAUGUUCAAGUAACUAGACGGUAUGAGGAGAUUUAACCUCCCAACGGCCAAUUGAAAAAUGCUUUGGUGAAAAGCCAGAGGUCAUCUUCUUCAGUUCUCUUUAGCCUGUUGAUUGGCGUCUUACCAGACAUGGUUAGAUCUAAUUAUCUGUGUCUAAUACUGUCUGGUAAUGCCGUCCAUUGAGAGCGCGUUACCUUCCACUCUUUUUCCCUUUCUCCUUCUUGAGCAGAAGUGUUCAGGAUGUCGAUCUCAGCGCUGACAUUUACAUUUAUUUGAUGAAGUGACAGAUGAUGACAGGACAUGACGGUUAUGGGGAUGAAGAUAAUUCCAGAAACUGUUAACUUUGCACUGGCAGAUAACGUUGCACUUACAUAUAUCCAUAAUAGUAAGGCUAGAAUAAAAACCCAGUAAAACUCUCAGACCUUGUGUAAGCUCUGUAUGAUCCGCUGGGUUCCUCAGCUGUGUUCUGUGUGUUGUGGCCUUGAAGUGUUGUCCGCACAUGUAAAAAAACUGUUUUAGUGCACUUCUUUUGAGAUCCUGAAGCUUGUUAUUGUAGGUAUCAAAUGUAUUGUCAUGUUAUUUUGGGGAUAUUUCAAAAUCAUUAUGCGUUCCCUCAUGAAUUGUGUUCUCUCAUUUGGUGUUGUCUUAGUAACUGAAUUCCACCUGUGUUUUGGGCCUUUUUCCCGGUUUUCUCUUUUCUUGUUCAAUUCUUCACUUAAAAAACGAAAUCUUUGAAUGCUUACCAAAUGUAAUGAAUGCAAUUUCACUGUGACUUUAUGUAACAUGCAAACAUCAAAUAAACAUGCAAUAAAAA